rnacentral:tRNA from 1 species
GCACCAGUAGCUCAAUGGAUAGAGCAACUGCCUUCUAAGCAGUAGGUUUCAGGUUCGAGUCCUGACUGGUGCA